AAAGGUCUUUUCCCCCAGAUGGUUAGAAUCUAGUGCAGGAAAGCCCUCAUCUCUUACACAGAUUUUUACUUGUGCAACCCAGGAGGAUCAAAUUCUCAAGAAUGCCUUGGAGGAGGCAUCAUUCCAGAUCAUAUUCCCAACAAUGAAGGAGGAGGAACAAAGCAACAGCCAUGCUCGCCCAAUUAGAAGGAUGAGACAUGGCUUUGGCCCAGACAGCUGUGGUGCAGAAUAUAGCAUACCAUUCCCGUGGCAAGAAGGAGGCCAGUGUCCGAAUAAGAUGUGUAAUGAUAAUAUUCCCUGUGAUAUAGUCCUCAUAUGUCCACUUCUCUCUAUAAAGGAUGUCCAUUUCUCCAGAUUGUCCAGUGUCUUCCAGCCCGAGGUGCAGUGCUGCAUCUCUGGUCAGUUGUGAGUCUGAGAUGAAGCACUGUAGCUCGGGAAGGUGGAAAUCUGCUGCCAGAAAGAAGAGGACUGAAAAAGGACAUCUUAAUCAGCAAAUCUGUUCAAGAAAAGUAUACAUCUGAUGUGCAUUACAGUCCAACUCUAUGUAAUUCCAUGUUAUUCACAUUCAUCAGAAAAAAAAAUUGUUCCUGUUUAUAGGAGGCCUACGUAGGCCAUUAAUCUUUUUCCAGCUGUUUAUAGGUCAUCUUUGUCGUGAACAGGAGCACAUAUUCCUGCCGCAGCUAUAGUCAUUCAUUGUGAUUGUUUUCUUCAAUAAUUGUAGCUUAACAGUACCUGCUCUGGUGUUGUGAAGCUUGGUUACUUUUCAGGAAGAUGCAUUAACCGUCUUGUCACCUGGUCCUCACGGUCCAGUUUUCCCAGGAAUCCCUUGGGUGUUGUGGUGGGGAUUCCUGGAAAUACUGUUCUUGGGGUCUAGGAUUUGCAGCCAGGAACAUCAAGACCUUCAUCAAUGUCAUAUUCUGCGUUUAUCCACAGGUUUUUCCCUCUUUAAUCCCAUGUUCUGUUUAGGCUAAACUACAUAUAUAUCAUUAUGAAGGAGCAACGGAUGAGCUUCAAUAGAGAACAACGGAAAUUUCUCCUUUUUCUUUUUGGUAAUACAUCCAAUGUAAAACAUCUCAAAUGUAUUAUUGUCAGCUAAGUUCUCCAUAAGGAUUAGUGAUAGCUGACUGUCUUUCAGUGUGAUUAAGAUGUACAAUGUUGUUGAAAGGACAGAAUCUCUACAGUAUAUAUUUGACAAUUGCCUUUUCGUUAUUUGUUUCCUUUCCAUGUCUUUCUGUAAUCCUCCAUAAGCCCAAAGAGAUUAAAUCAAUCACUUUGGUUCCUCAAUAAAAUAUUUUCUAUUAUUAGACA